rfam:Gorilla gorilla gorilla genomic chromosome, chr15, whole genome shotgun sequence
AAUUGGUAUGAUACAAUUUUAUGAUACAAUGCUAAUGAUACAGAGAUGAUUAGCAUGGCCCCUGCGCCAGGAUGACAUGCAAAUUUGUGAAACAUUCCAUUAAUUU